GGCGGCAUGCCUAAUACAUGCAAGUCGAGCGGACUUGAUGAGAAGCUUGCUUCUCUGAUGGUUAGCGGCGGACGGGUGAGUAACACGUAGGCAACCUGCCCUCAAGUUUGGGACAACUACCGGAAACGGUAGCUAAUACCGAAUAGUUGUUUUCUUCGCCUGAAGGAAACUGGAAAGACGGAGCAAUCUGUCACUUGGGGAUGGGCCUGCGGCGCAUUAGCUAGUUGGUGGGGUAACGGCUCACCAAGGCGACGAUGCGUAGCCGACCUGAGAGGGUGAUCGGCCACACUGGGACUGAGACACGGCCCAGACUCCUACGGGAGGCAGCAGUAGGGAAUCUUCCGCAAUGGGCGAAAGCCUGACGGAGCAAUGCCGCGUGAGUGAUGAAGGUUUUCGGAUCGUAAAGCUCUGUUGCCAGGGAAGAACGCUUGGGAGAGUAACUGCUCUCAAGGUGACGGUACCU
rnacentral:rRNA from 1 species